rnacentral:rRNA from 1 species
CAGUCGCCGCGGUAAAACGAAGGGUGCAAGCGUUACUCGGAAUUACUGGGCGUAAAGCGUGCGUAGGUGGUGGUUUAAGUCCGUUGUGAAAGCCCUGGGCUCAACCUGGGAAUUGCAGUGGAUACUGGGUCACUAGAGUGUGGUAGAGGAUAGUGGAAUUUCCGGUGUAGCAGUGAAAUGCGUAGAGAUCGGAAGGAACAUCUGUGGCGAAGGCGACUAUCUGGGCCAACACUGACACUGAGGCACGAAAGCGUGGGGAGCAAACAGGAUUAGAUACCCGGGUAGUCCCUGUCUCUUAUAC